GGGUUGUUUAAGAUUGUUGUUAAACCCUCUGCUAACAAACAGGAAUCCACUGCUGAUCAGGUUGGAGCUGAAGCUGACACUUCUUGGGAGGGGGUGGUAAGACGGGAAACUGGAUUCUCGGAGUCUAAUCUAUGGCUCCAAUGGGUACAGCAUACUGCCACAAACAUGCACAGUACAGAUUGUAUAGUGUGUUCUCAACCUAGGCCUAUGCCCACUCCUGUACGUUCCAGAUUCAGACCAAUAAGUCCUAUAUUCAAAUGUAUACUGGAGCUCUUUGUCCUGCAGACUCAGCCUGUCCACCAUACUUGUCUAGAGUUCCAAUGGGAUUAUCCGCCAGCUACCUAGAGCACGCCACCUCAAUUUAUGGUUCCAGAUGGUACAUUUGAUUGCAUAGUAUCAGAGAUAACGGGAGGGAUAAAAUGAAGGAGACCACAUUUCAAGACUUGAUUUCACCACAUCCUCACGUCGCCAGGAGAGCGAAGAGAUCCACUAGUCCUGCGGGCUCAUUUGAUAGUCAUGUGUACUUAGAUGCCAUUGGGGUGCCCAGGAGGGUGCCAGAUGAUGUUGAAUUCCAGAAUCAGAUCACUGAAUCAGCUGAAUUUGUGGACAAUAAUAAAAUGUUGAUUGGAUGAAACUGCAUUUAAUGGCAGACAGGUGCUACAAAUGAAGACCUGCAUGAGUCAUUGGAUGAAAUGAGACUCAUGGCCUAGAAUAAUAAAGUGGCUUUAGACAUGAUCUUGGC
ensembl:lncRNA